rnacentral:rRNA from 1 species
UCAGCAUGCCGCGGUGAAUACGUUCCCGGGCCUUGUACACACCGCCCGUCACACCACGAGAGUUUGCAACACCCGAAGUCGGUGAGGUAACCUUUUUGGAACCAGCCGCCGAAGGUGGGGCAGAUGAUUGGGGUGAAGUCGUAACAAGGUAUCCCUACCGGAAGGUGGGGAUGGAUCACCUCCUUUCU